GCAGGUUCACUCACCUUCGCAUUUGCGGGAGAGAAAGGGGGUAGACGGAGGAGGACGAAAAAUAGGAAACACUGACUUACAUUAAAGGGCUGAUAUCCAGCAAUUGAACUUGUGAUGAUAAUAGAAGUUAUGAUGACUUUUUGCGAUGGCGUGCCAGCUUUUGAUCCACAUUUUUCAAUUUUUCUAAGUACAUCUAAUC